AAACAAUAAUUUAAAACYAACCAAGGGCAAAAACAUGGAGGCAAUGUAACAAUACACUWYUCGGUCGUAAAAGGGCGAUAAUUGUGUGUCACUCAUGUAAAUCCAACAAGCGACGAAUUCCACAGCUAGUGGAUGGUUUAUUAGCAGUUUGACAAAUCGCCAAAAUCUUAUUUUCGCCAACUGAACAAGCUGAUUAAUGAAAAUCAAUAACAGGAGAGGAAACUGCGAGGCGCACCUGUUUAAGCUUUAGUUCAAGACCCACAACUUGUGUGGUCGACUGCGAUACUCUAUAUAUUGCCAAAAAGCGCCCGCUGAAAAGAUCAAGAGAGAAAACCCGUUAAAGUCUAGAAACAUCUUGAACAACAGUGACAAAUUAGGCUCAUGCAUAAGGCCAAUUGUCAAUGGGAGAAACGAAGGCACCUCUCGAGGCGCAGAAACUAACAAGGAACAAAUCUACUGCAUAUUUCGUCAACUGAAACCGCAUUACGAUGGGGGAUACCCAACACACCAAGGACAGAGAUUUAGGCAAUGGCGUCUACCACCGCAAUUCUCAUCCAACAUCACCUAAUAUCAUCCGAGCAGAGAAUUCCAAACCAACGAAAAGUAAAAAUCUCUCUUGGUCUGACGAUGCUUUAGUACACUUGAACAAUCACGAGCAAAACGGAAUGCCUCCUACAGACAUCACUCCUCUCAACGGAACAGCAAAUAAGGGAUUUACCAGCUCACAUAUGCCCUCAUGCUUUCUUGAAAUUCCUGUUGGUACCUUACACAAAGGAACUUGUUCAAAUUACCAUACCAGACAUAGUUACCCACAUAAUUUUUACCUUCGAAGGCAUAGUGACUUUAUAGAACUUAUGAA